rnacentral:rRNA from 1 species
GACGAACGCUGGCGGCGUGCCUAAUACAUGCAAGUCGAGCGCAGGAAAUCGACGGAACCCUUCGGGGGGAAGUCGAUGGAAUGAGCGGCGGACGGGUGAGUAACACGUAAAGAACCUGCCCUCAGGUCUGGGAUAACCACGAGAAAUCGGGGCUAAUACCGGAUGGGUCAUCGGACCGCAUGGCCCGCGGGUGAAAGGCGCUUGGGCGUCGCCUGGGGAUGGCUUUGCGGUGCAUUAGCUAGUUGGUGGGGUAAUGGCCCACCAAGGCGACGAUGCAUAGCCGACCUGAGAGGGUGAUCGGCCACACUGGGACUGAGACACGGCCCAGACUCCUACGGGAGGCAGCAGUAGGGAAUCUUCCACAAUGGACGAAAGUCUGAUGGAGCAACGCCGCGUGAACGAUGAAGGCCUUCGGGUCGUAAAGUUCUGUUGUAAGGGAAGAACAAGUGCCGCAGGCAAUGGCGGCACCUUGACGGUACCUUGCGAGAAAGCCACGGCUAACUACGUGCCAGCAGCCGCCGUAACAC